rnacentral:misc_RNA from 1 species
CGAUCACCGCAUGAGCCGAGCCAAGAGACUCCGCCAUAACGGGAACGAACGUCGUCCGCAUGAAGCGUCGAACGCUCUUUAUUUCGGGGCAAAUAGAGGUCGAGGACCUCGUACCGCAUCGCUAUUCCGUAUCCGAGAGAACGAGCGCUCCAACAUGGGCCUACGACUACGAGCGUAGAGAGCGCACGAAUCGUGGAUCACAUCGAGUGCUUCGUUGUCCACCCCGCACCGCAUCCCCUGAGGGCGCAGCACAAGGAGGAAAAAGGGUCAUCGGGACAAUAUCAUGCCUUCUAGAUAGGUAUACAACACAKGAAACCGACAUCGGUCAAGGCAACCCGCAACUUGAACCAACAAUUGAAGAGGCUUGCACGAGAUGCCGUCGCUGCCCGAGCAG